rnacentral:rRNA from 1 species
CCUACGGGUGGCAGCAGUGAGGAAUAUUGGUCAAUGGGCGUAAGCCUGAACCAGCCAAGUCGCGUGAGGGAUGAAGGUUCUAUGGAUCGUAAACCUCUUUUAUAAGGGAAUAAAGUGUGGGACGUGUCCUAUUUUGUAUGUACCUUAUGAAUAAGGAUCGGCUAACUCCGUGCCAGCAGCCGCGGUAAUACGGAGGAUCCGAGCGUUAUCCGGAUUUAUUGGGUUUAAAGGGUGCGUAGGUGGCCUUUUAAGUCAGCUGUGAAAGUCUGUGGCUCAACCAUAAAAUUGCCGUUGAAACUGGGAGUCUUGAGUAUGGUUGAGGCAGGCGGAAUUCGUGGUGUAGCGGUGAAAUGCUUAGAUAUCACGAAGAACCCCGAUUGCGAAGGCAGCCUGCCAAGCCGUGACUGACACUGAUGCACGAAAGCGUGGGGAUCAAACAGGAUUAGAUACCCCGGUAGUC